rnacentral:lncRNA from 1 species
AAAGGUUGAGAACUGUUAGUAUCAAAAAAAGCGAAGAAACUUUCUUUGAGGUAUAAGGAUGAGGAGCGGAAACACGGGUUUGAAAUACAACCUGGAGGCGCGAGUUUGUACCAUCCACAUGGUCGUCUAGGUCAUCCUGCAAUCAUGAAGACAUGGCUGUGAACAGAGUCUAGAGAGCAAAGAAAGAAACAAGUGGAAGACAUGGCUGUGAACAGAGUCUAGAGAGCAAAGAAAGAAACAAGUGGCUUUGCGGUAAGAAACUAACAAUCAGUCUUGCAUGUAGGUCAAGCUCCUCAUUGACUGCCAGCGCGACGUGUUUUGCGCUCAGCACUGUCUGCUCCAG